rnacentral:rRNA from 1 species
GAUGAACGCUGGCGGCGUGCUUAACACAUGCAAGUCGAACGGAAAGGCCCAAGCUUGCUUGGGUACUCGAGUGGCGAACGGGUGAGUAACACGUGGGUGAUCUGCCCUGCACUUCGGGAUAAGCCUGGGAAACUGGGUCUAAUACCGGAUAGGACGAUGGUUUGGAUGCCAUUGUGGAAAGUUUUUUCGGUGUGGGAUGAGCUCGCGGCCUAUCAGCUUGUUGGUGGGGUAAUGGCCUACCAAGGCGUCGACGGGAAGCCGGCCUGAGAGGGUGUACGGCCACAUUGGGACUGAGAUACGGCCCAGACUCCUACGGGAGGCAGCAGUGGGGAAUAUUGCACAAUGGGCGCAAGCCUGAUGCAGCGACGCCGCGUGGGGGAUGACGGCCUUCGGGUUGUAAACUCCCUUCGCUAGGGACGAAGCGUUUUUGUGACGGUACCUGGAGAAGAAGCACCGGCUAACUACGUG